rnacentral:rRNA from 1 species
AUCCAGUGGAAACACAGGAGUGCCUUCGGGAGCGCGAACACAGGUGGUGCAUGGUUGUCGUCAGCUCGUGUCGUGAGAUGUUGGGUUAAGUCCCGCAACGAGCGCAACCCUUAUCCUUAGUAGCCAGCGGUUCGGCCGGGCACUCUAGGGAGACUGCCAGGGAUAACCUGGAGGAAGGUGGGGAUGACGUCAAAUCAUCAUGCCCCUUAUGAUUUGGGCUACACACGUGCUACAAUGGACAAUACAAAGGGCAGCUAAACCGCGAGGUCAUGCAAAUCCCAUAAAGUUGUUCUCAGUUCGGAUUGUAGUCUGCAACUCGACUACAUGAAGCUGGAAUCGCUAGUAAUCGUAGAUCAGCAUGCUACGGUGAAUACGUUCCCGGGUCUUGUACACACCGCCCGUCACACCACGAGAGUUUGUAACACCCGAAGCCGGUGGGUCGACGCGGCCG